rnacentral:tRNA from 1 species
GGAGGCAUAGCUCAGUGGUAGAGCAUGUACUUGUCACGAGGUCCUGGGUUCAAUUCCCAGUGCCUCCA